rnacentral:rRNA from 1 species
UUUAUUGGAGAGUUUGAUCCUGGCUCAGGAUGAACGCUGGUGGCGUGCCUAAUACAUGCAAGUCGAGCGAAUGGAUUAAGAGCUUGCUCUUAUGAAGUUAGCGGCGGACGGGUGAGUAACACGUGGGUAAC